CGGGACGGGUGAGUAAUGUCUGGGAAACUGCCUGAUGGAGGGGGAUAACUACUGGAAACGGUAGCUAAUACCGCAUAACGUCGCAAGACCAAAGAGGGGGACCUUCGGGCCUCUUGCCAUCGGAUGUGCCCAGAUGGGAUUAGCAGUAGGUGGGGUAACGGCUCACCUAGGCGACGAUCCCUAGCUGGUCUGAGAGGAUGACCAGCCACACUGGAACUGAGACACGGUCCAG
rnacentral:rRNA from 1 species